UAAUGCACUUUCUUGUUAUAGAAAAGCAAAGGCAGUUAAUCCAACACCAGCAGGAACAAAGCCAGGUACUUUUUUUGAUACGACAAUAUCUGUACAAUUCCUGACUCCACUUCCGGUCCCUCCUUUCCGCGGUAUAUAUAUAUAUAUAUAUAUAUAUAUAUAUAUAUAUAUAUAUAUAUAUAUAUAUAUAUAUAUAUAUAUAUAUAUAUAUAUAUAUAUAUAUAUAUAUAUAUAUAUAUUCAGUCAAGGUUUGAAUGUUUGCGUCGCUACUCUGAGUUUCACGCUUUACGCGAUCAUCAGGCAACUGACAGAUAUUAUUCAAUAUUCAUAAUAAAUAUAGGUUAUCAUUUUACAACUUCAUUAAGCAGGUAUCUGGUUACAUGUCUACAUUUGGAAAACAAGUCAGAGCGUUUGUUCAGGCAUUCAGUUUUCUUCGCUUUCAUAAUAAGUAGUUUCUCCUCCAGGCAUAAAUUACGCCGUUUAGAUCCUGGUUUGUAUGCUUUGACUUUCUUCAUAAUGGACCACUUUAUUGUAUACUGACUUUUUUCUGACUUCAGUUUCCAGACGUACUUGGACAGUUCGGUGUUGCUCUUGUAUUCCUCAUGUCGGAAAGACUUAGUGUGAUUGCGGUAUCUUAUUUUGAAAUCGCCCGCCGUCAUGCCAAUGUAUAUUUUCUUUUCCUGGUUGUUGGCAGUGCUGGCUGUCACUUCGGCUUUGUAUACGAUGCUCUCAGUAAGACAUUUUUUACCAAGUGGACAGUUGGCUGGUUUUUGGCAGUUGCACAUUGGCGUGUCGUUUUUUGUAGGUGUUGGUAUUACCGUUGGUAUGGAUGAUUGUAUUACCCUAGCAGUUGGCGUUCGUUUUGUGUUUCGGUUGAGUAUUUUACGAUUAUGUUUGCGGAUGAGAUUUUUCAUGUUUGUCAUGCAACUGUAACUAACACGGACUGUGUGGCGGUUGAAAAGUUUGUGCAGUUUGUUUGAGGGAAGAAAAUGCUUGUCAAUUAGGUUUAGGAAUGUCUGUGCUACAUUGGUCUUAACGUUCUUGCUAUAAGAAGGGUUGUACUUGUACCAUGUAAUGUUUCGUUGUCUGUUUCGUUUAUCGGAGUUAUUAGUGUUGUUUUGAGUUUGUGUGUACGUUAGGUUAACGUCAAAGUUGCUUUGCUUGAGAGCGUUGUUGUAAAGUGGUGCUGCUGCGUUGAAUGCUUCUUCGUCACAUGAUAGUUUGUUAAUGCGUUUGUUGACUGAGUGUGGAAGUUGUCGUGUGAUGGAAGGUGGAUGGUUUGAUAAUCUGUUUAUGUGCAGUGGUUCGUCAUUAGGUUUUCGGUAUGGUUUAUAUUUACCGUUUGAUAGGUCAAGCGUCAGGUCAAGGAAGUUCACGCACUUGAUGUUUGUCUGGGCGGUGAUUCUGAGGCCAAAGCUCUCAAAAAUGGUGAUCAACUCUUUCCUCGCCUUGUCCGCAAGUCUGCCUGAUGUUGUUCUGAGGGCAGCCAAGCCGUCGUCACGGUAUAGGCCUACGUCUUUCCCAAAGCGUUUCUCGAGUGUGUUCAGAAUGAAAAGUCCGACGAGUUCACAGACCUCAGCGCCAUCGAAACUUCCCAUGAUCACGUCAAACGUGGUGGUGGUGUUCUUCUUCGUCCAAGCUUGUUGGUUGUAAAAAAGAAGGGAUUUGCGCGCGUGCUUCACAAUGCGGAUAUCGCUGUCGGAAAUUGCGAUGAAUUGUUGGCUCCAUGCGAUUGCACGGUCGAGUAGACUUUCAGUUAUGGACGGGUAAAAUUCGACUAUAUCGAAAGAUAGGAAAGACAGUCUGUCCUUGUUAGUUAGUGAGUCAAACCAAGUGAUUGUGUCCUCAGAGUUUCUCCACUGGUUUGCACAAGUUUGUCGGCGGAUUUCAGCAUUGAUUUUGUCCAAGAUGGUUCGGCUAACUUUGCCGAGAUCAGAUUUCGCCGGGUUUAUCAAUCGGCACUUUGGAUGGUUUUCGAAGCCGUCCUUGUGAUCUUUUAGUGAAAUAAACGCCGGCGGUUGGGUUGCUGGUUCCAUGCGGUUUCCGAUGUUUAAUUCGUUGGCCAUAUUUUUAAGUUCGUGGUUAAUUUUGUCAACUGUUCCGUCUUGUGCCAAUUUGUAGGUUUUGGUGAUGUUCUCAGUCAACAAUUUGUUGUAUUUGUCCGCGUGCAUUUCAUAGAUGUUAUGUGUCUUGUCAGCAAAGAUGAAGACAUUUUGAGACGCUUCUAUCUUUCGUUUGUCUUGCUCUAAACAACUUGCUCGAUUUCAAAACAAGAUACCGCAAUCACACUAAGUCUUUCCGACAUGAGGAAUACAAGAGCAACACCGAACUGUCCAAGUACGUCUGGAAAAUGAAGUCAGAAAAAAGUCAGUAUACAAUAAAGUGGUCCAUUAUGAAGAAAGUCAAAGCAUACAAACCAGGAUCUAAACGGUGUAAUUUAUGCCUCGAGGAGAAACUACUUAUUAUGAAAUAUAUAUAUAUAUAUAUAUAUAUAUAUAUAUAUAUAUAUAUAUAUAUAUAUAUAUAUAUAUAUAUAUAUAUAUAAUUCAGUCAAGGUUUGAAUGUUUGCGUCGCUACUGUUUGCGUCGCUACUUUUUGAAUGUUUGCGUCGCUACGCAAACAUUCAAACCUUGACUGAAUUAAUUCCGCUCUACUUAUUAUGGUAUUGAGCGCUCUUCUACCUUACGUCAACUCAUCGACUAUUUUUUUGAAUAUAGUCUUCAGUAUAUAUAUAUAUAUAUAUAUAUAUAUAUAUAUAUAUAUAUAUAUAUAUAUAUAUAUAUAUAUAUAUAUAUAUAUAUAUAUAACUCAUAGACGGCGGAAGGUAAAUCCUUUAUUCGUUUUUUAAAUAAUGAAUUUUCGUUGCUAUGGAAAUCUUUAGAUUUUUUGAAAAAACUUUAAGUCUAGAUUUUUAAGGCAUUUUUCCCAAGCUCUCUUCCCAACCUCCUUCUGGCAAAGGUUGGUAGUCGGUGAAAGCUCCAAAAAUGGUGAGAACCAUAACUUCCUCAAACAUAAUGAUACGUUGUUUAUUUUCUAGCAAAUACUAAUAGUUUACAAAUUGAUUGGCAAAAUAAAAAUGUUUUCAAUUGUUUUGACCUUUAGUUGCGAUGGCUGGAUCACUUAAACGUAAAUUUGAGGAACAUUUGACUUGCUCUGUUUGUUUGGAACCAUUUAAAGAUCCCAAAGUUUUCCCGUGUCUUCAUUCAUAUUGCCAUGCCUGCAUUGUAAAACUGGCCAAGAACACAGAGUCAAAUACUAUCAACUGUCCUGAUUGUCGACUAGCAGUUGAGGUGAGAAAAAUAUUAAACAA
rnacentral:lncRNA from 1 species